rnacentral:rRNA from 1 species
AGCGAACGCUGGCGGCAGGCCUAACACAUGCAAGUCGAACGAACCUUUCGGGGUUAGUGGCGGACGGGUGAGUAACACGUGGGAACGUGCCUUUAGGUUCGGAAUAACUCAGGGAAACUUGUGCUAAUACCUAAUGUGCCCUUCGGGGGAAAGAUUUAUCGCCUUUAGAGCGGCCCGCGUCUGAUUAGCUAGUUGGUUGAGGUAAUGGCUCACCAAGGCGACGAUCAGUAGCUGGUCUGAGAGGAUGAUCAGCCACAUUGGGACUGAGACACGGCCCAAACUCCUACGGGAGGCAGCAGUGGGGAAUCUUGCGCAAUGGGCGAAAGCCUGACGCAGCCAUGCCGCGUGAAUGAUGAAGGUCUUAGGAUUGUAAAAUUCUUUCACCGGGGACGAUAAUGACGGUACCCGGAGAAGAAGCCCCGGCUAACUUCGU